rnacentral:misc_RNA from 1 species
ACAGGAAGUUAUCUUCUACACCCAGUUUCAAUGUUUUGAUUUUUCCGUUCACUGAGAAUGACAAGUGUGUAGAAGAAUUGUCUUAAUUUCCGAAGAUUUCCAGCUACGACCGACCCAAAUGCAGAAGAAAAUGUUCACCAAAUUUACCACUCUUAUACAGCAUGCCGUGGACUCGUUUGCUCCGAACUUGUCCCUGCAGGAGGAGUUCAUCCAUCACUGGAAGGCCGUCACCAGCUACUUCGUCGAUAACAAAGGUGAGCGCGGGCAUGUGGAGCAGACCCAGAUACCAGGGCACCUGGACCAGAUGAUGCGGAUCCUGUACGAGGAGGAGGGGCUGUCCCUGGAGAGCGGCACCACAGGCCCGUGUCUGGAGUACGUCCUGCAGCACAAGCUGAUGGAGACACUCUACACGCUCGGCAGGACGGAUCACCCGCCUGGGAUGAAGCAGAUCAUCCUCAGCUUCUUCACCAAGAUGUUGUCACGCAUCAAGCACCCGCUCCUGCCGCACAUCAACGUACACAGAGCUGUGCAGCGCCUGGUGAAGACUUGCGGGGAAGUGAGAGCUGCCCCCACUGAGAAGGAGGAGAUUGAGUUUCUGUGUACUGUUUGUGCCAAGAUCAAGACUGAUCCAUACCUAGUCAACUUCUUUAUUGAGGCUCCAGGAAAGUCUCAAGACAAGGGUCGUCCUUCUCUACCACUGAUGGUGUCGUCUCAGCCGACGGCCACAAACAACCUGGAGUUCUGUCUUGUGGAUGCUCUCAUCUCUCUCAUGUCUAGUCCAGAUGCGCGCAUCUCGGUGAAGGCAUGUGAAGGUCUGAUGCUGUGUGUGAGUCUCCCCGAGGAGUCGGCCGCCAAGUGUAUUGUCGCAGACACCAAGUUCUGUGGACACCUCACGGAGAGGCUCUGUCAGCUGUACGAAGACCUACCCACCGUCAUCAGUCCAGCAGACAUCGACUCUGUGGAUGCCAAGUGGGGUCUGGAUGUUUUCACUGAGCGAGAAGACCACCAGUCUUUCAUUGGCAAGCGCACAUUGAUAUCAUUCUUGUCGUGGUUGGAUUAUUGUGACCAGCUCAUCUCCAUUGCCAACCCCCUGGUAGCCUGUGCCUUAUCCACCUCCAUACAUGUGGAGCUGCUGAAAGGGAAGAUGCAGCCUCUCAUCUUACAAACGUGUGAGACUGGUGCUAUAAUGGCAACGUGCUACCUCACCCGCUGUCUGAAGACAGUAUGUUCCCAACCACUACUUACAGAAUUUACUCAUUUCAUUCUUGGGAAUGAAUCGGAGCCAGAGAAGCCCUCUGAGAGUGUCCACAAGAUGCGCCGAACUCUGAUUGAACGUUGUAACCACAUUUCAGAAGAGGUUUGUCUGUCCACAAUGAAGCUGUUUGACAUGCUACUCCAGAAAGAGGAUGCUCACAUCUUCCAGAACUUGUUCCUGCGGAACCUCCUAGGACGGUGCUACAUGAAGCCACAGGCUAGUUCCAAUCAGUCACAAGAUGGAAGUGGCUCCACGGAAACACAAGAUGCUAGUGUUCCCACAGAAUCCAAAGAUGGGAGUGGUCCCACAGGAUCCCAAGAUGGGAGUGGUCCCACGGGAACUCAAGAUGGUUCCACAGAAACACCAGCUGCAGAUGAGGAGGAUGGAGGCAUGGAUGCUGCCUCCAGUCAUGUGAAGGAUGCAGAUAGUUGUAAAGAAGAGCAAGAUGAAGAGAAUAAGGAAAGGACAGCUCCAGAUUCCCAAAGAAAAGGAGAUUCCCAUGAUAAAGCUGCAGUGGAAAGUCUACCAACACCAAAAGACUCAGCAUAUGUACGACCUGAAGUUCACAAGGUCGUCAACAGUUUCCUGACCAUGCUGCCAGAGGAAGCUAAGUCUUCGUACCAGACAGCGGACAGUGGGUACGACAUGUAUCUCCGUGAUGCCACAAGACAGUUCAGCUGUGUGGAGCAUGGGAGCAAGUCCUGGGGGUGGCCUGUCAAGCCGGUACGGAUGGAGCAGUACAAGAUGGAUGUGUUCUACGAGGGAGACUUCCUCCACAUGCUGCUGACAAGGCUGAGCAAGCUCCUCAAACAGACAUACACCAUAAACCUAGUGCUGACAUCUGUGAUAGCCAGAGUGGCCCUUGUACCACACCCAAACCUUCACGAGUUCCUACUGGACCCAUUCCUACCGGCCAACAACAGUGUUCCCACACUCACCAGUGUGUUGAAGAAGGUUGCUGGUGAGAUCCAGGUCUACCUCAAGACUGAACCUCAUUUUUCUGACAAACUGGUGGUUGCUAGGAAACAACUUCUGGGCGUCAUGGAUACAAUGCACAGUGUAAGGAGCUCGCUCGUAAAGAGUGAUUCAAUCGGGUUUGACGAUCAAAGUCAACUAGAAGCCAUCAUUGUGAUCGAGGAAUUCUGUAAGGAGUUGUCAGCCAUUGCCUUUGUGAAGCAUCAUGCCGCAGUGACCAGGACAUAAGAGGUAGGACAGAGGAGGACAUUGACUUGGACAACGACACACACUGACCAGCUAUCAGAGUCACUCAUGUGGUUACACAUGCAUUUACUGGGACAGUACUCUGCAAAGACAUCUCCACCCUCAUACACCUGUUGUAGUUGUGGUUGUGGUGAUGGUGGAUGGAAGAUGAAGAUGUUCUUGGACAUGGGAGGACAGGCGGACAGGGGGACACUGACCAGCUAUCAGAGUCACUGUUGUGGUCCAACACACAGUUACUGGGACAGGACUCCUUCAAAGAAUGUCAAGGACAUCUCCCCCAUCAUACGCCUGUUGUGGUAUCAUCAUCGAUGAUGGUGGUGGGAAGAUGCAGAUGAAGAUGUUCAGACUACUAUUUCAGGCAUUCUUCCUGGUAUUGGUAAUCAUUCUAGAAUAACCUUGUAUUUCUCCCCAAAUUGUUAAGAGUUUAGGCCAUUAUGAAUGUUUUGUCUCCUUUCAUUUAAAUCUACCCAUCAUCUACAGAACUAGAAAUGGCCAUUCAGUGUUAAAUAAUGUUAUCAGGCUUAAGAUGAGAGGCAACAACUGUAUUAAGGUCAAUUCUUUUACACCACAGUCACAUCUUUUGUGUAAGAUGGUUUCUUUCCUGUCACAACAACGUUAUAGAAUCUCAAAAAGGUUUCAGGCUAUAUGCGAAAUGAAUUGGUCACAUCUACAAGAUAUCCUUGUGCUUGGACAAAAGUUCAUCAAUAAUAACCAACAGAUGCCACCUUAUUAAAUUUGCAUCUGAAGAGUAAAAACCAAUUGUUGGUGUUAGUAGUGAUGAGAGGGUGACCUCACUGCAUCCUCCAUCCUUCACUAACUGAUACUGUUUAUCGUCAUGAUGGGGAGUUUGGCCAGCAACUGUUGAUCAUCGAUCAGAAUCUAGAUCCAUUUAACUGUGACAGUUAAUGCAUCAGCAUGAGCUGAACAAUUGCUCAGACGGACCUGUGUGUCCUGACAUUGUGUUUUCAAGUAGGAUGUUCUGAGCUGAUUUCACAAAAGUAUUGUCCUAAAAUAUGAUUCAUCCAUUAAGCAAAUCCAAAACAGGAAAAUUGGGCACUUAGUCUCUGGGCCACCAGCAGAAUAUGUAAGGUUUGACUAUUAAGCUAUCUCCAUUGUUUAAGGGGAAGAUGUCUUAUUCAGCUUGGUGUAAUGACCAAGAGAGCCGCCAGAUGUCUUCUGGUAGAGCAUGUAGAUAACUGGAUUCACCUAAAGGGAGCCCAGUGCGCUCAUACACCAGGGUUUUACAUGAUGCAGAAACCUGCAUCCAAUACCCACAAAUGUCUAGAAUGGAUGAAGAAAAGAAAUGUAGUGCAUCCUGUGGGACGCAAGGUAAUAUUCAUUCUACCAAAUUCUUGGCAAGAAAUAUUAAGUUCUUGUAAUUGAUGGAAUUAUCAAAUCUUACCGUACAGUAUUCUACACAAUCUCAUUAGUUUACAGGGCUCUCAUAUAUCCUGUAAUGAUCCUUGAAAUAAGUUAUUGGUUCCCAUAGACCCCUAUUUUUUUUUGUAGGUCAAGGUAAAACUCUGAUUUCACUCUGCAGAGCUUUUUCUAUGCUGGGCCAAGUUCCACUUACCGUGGGUUUGAAUCUCUGAUUAUGAUCCUUGGUUUGUCAGCACCAUAUCCUGGCUUUCCCCUCACAUGAAGCUUCCAUGCCGUGAUGUAACUGAAAUAUUUUUCAAAGCAACAUAAAACCAAAUAAACUUGCUCCAUUAUCCACCUGAGACCAGGAUCACCCAUAGCUUCAUGCAUGUGUCCGAUCCACCCGACACCAGGAUCACCUAUAGGUCUGAUCCACCCGACACCAGGAUCACCCAUAGCUUCAUGCAUGUGUCCGAUCCACCCGACACCAGGAUCACCUAUAGGUCUGAUCCACCCGACACCAGGAUCACCUAUAGGUCUGAUCCACCCGACACCAGGAUCACCUAUAGGUCUGAUCCACCCGACACCAGGAUCAUCUAUAGGUCGGAUCCAUUGUGGCAUCAAGAUGAAGCAGAAUUGGUUGCUGUUAUUGGGUAUGUUGGAAUGAAUUUAAGACCAAACUGAUUUACAGACUCAUUGUCUUUUAUUCUUUCAAUGUGACAUUUCAGUGCAUGUGAUAGAUAUGUCAGUCAUGUCUUCAUUCAUACUUCAGCUAAAAUGGAGCCAUUUAAACUCAGCCUUAUAGGAAUGGGUAUUGAUAAUGCCAGAGACAAAAAUUGGCACACUUGCAUUAUACCGGCUACCUGUUUUGCCAUAUUUGUUGUCAGUGAAAGUGUAGCUAUUUGAAAAAUUGUGGGAUAUAGCUCAAAAUUAGCUGAACAUUACCCCGCUUGCAUUUGAAUGGGUAAAUAUGAUAAAACUUUUGAAAUUAAUGUUUCAAGUUGCAUACGGCGUGCAGCAAUCUCAUCCGUUACAUGCAUCAGACAUGUAUGUUUUAUUAACUUUGGUAACUGAAAAUUAGAUUUACUUACGGAAGCUUUUAACACUCUAAACCCUAAACCCCAUGUUAAUCUGGCAAGCCAGCUAAAAGUGGCAGCUAUUUAGAAAGUGGUAUGAAGGAUGGAGCCAACACACAUCCCCUACCAAAGGACAGAAAUGACAGAAAUUAUGCGGCAUACUGCAAUCUGCCCCAAAGAUUGAAUUUUCUGUUAUGCAAUAUAUUUGGAAACAAUCAUGUCACAAUGAUGACGAAUGCUUGAACAUUCAGGUUCAGAGAACAUGUCCUGAUUCAUAUACUUCUCAUGACUAUAGUUAAUAUGUCAUGGCCAUGAUAGAAAGCUUAAAUCACGUGGAAAAAAAAAAUAUAUAUAAGUGUAUAUAUAUAUAUAUAGAAAAAGCACAGUAAAGUUCUAACUCUCAAACACAAUAUAAUAAUAAUAAAAUAAGUGGAGGAAGAUUGA